AUGAACUAUAUAUACUCAAACAACAAAAAACUAAUUUAUAAUUUUGUAUGUCCAUUCCCAUGUGGAUGUCAAAAGUUAGUUCACAUACAACUUUAUUUACCAAACAGCAUCAUUAAGUUUGAACAGGUAAAAGCUUCAAGCAUAUACAUGCAAAAGCAAGCAACCAAUGACAGUGAAAUAUAUAAAUCCAACUUACAUAACAGCCGUCAGAUUAGCUUCAACAGUGUAAAAUAG